rnacentral:rRNA from 1 species
UACGUAAGGUCCGAGCGUUGUCCGGAAUCAUUGGGCGUAAAGGGUACGUAGGCGGGUAAGCAAGUUAGAAGUGAAAUCCUAUAGCUCAACUAUAGUAAGCUUUUAAAACUGUUCAUCUUGAGGUAUGGAAGGGAAAGUGGAAUUCCUAGUGUAGCGGUGAAAUGCGCAGAUAUUAGGAGGAAUACCGGUGGCGAAGGCGACUUUCUGGCCAUAUCCUGACGCUGAGGUACGAAAGCGUGGGUAGCAAACAGG